AGAGUUUGAUCGUGGCUCAGAUUGAACGCUAGCGGGAUGCUUUACACAUGCAAGUCGAACGGCAGCGCGAGAGAGCUUGCUCUCUUGGCGGCGAGUGGCGGACGGGUGAGUAAUAUAUCGGAACGUGCCCAGUAGCGGGGGAUAACUACUCGAAAGAGUGGCUAAUACCGCAUACGCCCUACGGGGGAAAGGGGGGGAUCGCAAGACCUCUCACUAUUGGAGCGGCCGAUAUCGGAUUAGCUAGUUGGUGGGGUAAAGGCUCACCAAGGCAACGAUCCGUAGCUGGUUUGAGAGGACGACCAGCCACACUGGGACUGAGACACGGCCCAGACUCCUACGGGAGGCAGCAGUGGGGAAUUUUGGACAAUGGGGGAAACCCUGAUCCAGCCAUCCCGCGUGUAUGAUGAAGGCCUUCGGGUUGUAAAGUACUUUUGGCAGAGAAGAAAAGGUACCUCCUAAUACGAGGUACUGCUGACGGUAUCUGCAGAAUAAGCACCGGCUAACUACGUGCCAGCAGCCGCGGUAAUACGUAGGGUGCAAGCGUUAAUCGGAAUUACUGGGCGUAAAGCGUGUGUAGGCGGUUCGGAAAGAAAGAUGUGAAAUCCCAGGGCUCAACCUUGGAACUGCAUUUUUAACUGCCGAGCUAGAGUAUGUCANAGGGGGGUAGAAUUCCNCGUGUAGCAGUGAAAUGCGUANAUAUGUGGAGGAAUACCGAUGGCNAAGGCAGCCCCCUGGGAUAAUACUGAC
rnacentral:rRNA from 1 species